AUUGAACGCUGGCGGCAGGCCUAACACAUGCAAGUCGAGCGGAGCGGCGGACGGGUGAGUAAUGCCUAGGAAUCUGCCUGGGAGUGGGGGAUAACGUCCGGAAACGGGCGCUAAUACCGCAUACUAUCAGAUGAGCCUCGGUCGGAUUAGCUAGUUGGUGGGGAAAUGGCCUACAAGGGCGACGAUCCGUAACUGGUCUGAGAGGAGGAUCAGUCACACGGGAACUGAGAAAGGGUCCAGACCCCUAGGGGGGGAAGCAGUGGGGAAGAUUGGACAAUGGGCGAAAGCCUGAUCCAGCCAGGCCGGGUGUGUGAAGAAGGUCUUCGGAUUGUAAAGCACUUUAAGUUGGGAGGCGUUACCAACAGAAUAAGCACCGGCUAACUUCGUGCCAGCGGCCGCGGUAAUA
rnacentral:rRNA from 1 species